rnacentral:misc_RNA from 1 species
CCAAACUUGGUCAUUUAGAGGAAGUAAAAGUCGUAACAAGGUUUCCGUAGGUGAACCUGCGGAAGGAUCAUCAUUGAAAGGCAAAAUGGUCAUAUUUUUAUGGCCCAAGCCAGGGAUUUUCAAUUUCUGGCUUGCAAACAAACAUAGAUACCCAACAAGAAGGAGGGUUGUUUUCUUUGGUUGAAAAAAAGGGGGGGAGACUUCUUAUCGAUCAAGAGGAAACACAUUUUCCUAGAAACAAUUUUUUGUGGUUGCCUGAUAAAUCAAGUGGUUGGAAAAGGAAUGAAAAAAAAACAACUUUCAACAACGGAUCUCUUGGCUCUCACAUCAAUGAAGAACGCAGC